GCCAGUAUGGCUUAGUGGUUUCAGUAUUGGAUUACAACUCUAGAGACCAGGGUUUGAUUCCCAGCUCUGCCA